GGCAAAAUAUCGAAAAAAGGCCUAAGGGGCAAAAUAUCAAAAAAGACCUAAGGGGCACAAUUUUAAAAAAAGACCUAAGGGGCAAAAUAUCAAAAAAAGACCUAAGGGGCACAAUUUAAAAAAAAAGACCUAAGGGGCAAAAUAUCAAAAAAGACCUAAGGGGCACAAUUUUAAAAAAAGAACUAAGCGGCAAAAUAAAAAAGACCUAAGGGGCACAAUAUUAAAAAAAAAGACCUAAGGGGCAAAAUAAAAAAAGACCUAAGGGGCAAAAUAUCAAAAAAAAAAAAGACCUAAGGGGCAAAAUAAACUAAAAGAAGAAUCAAAAAAUAAACUGGCAUAUUAUCCCGCCGGCAGCUCCUCACAUUGGAGGAAUAUGGGAAGGCGCUGUAAAAUCCAUGAAGUACCAUCUGAAACGUAUAAUGGGAGAUACGAAGCUGACAUAUGAGGAGCUCAGCACGGUACUAGCCCAGAUUGAGUCUGUUUUGAAUUCGAGGCCAUUACAUGAGCUUGCCAGUGGUGCGGAUUGUAUAGACACGUUGACACCAGGCCAUUUCCUUAUUGGGCGCCCUUUAUUAGAGGCACCAGCAAGGAUAGAAGAAGGAAGCCUAGUAUGCGCAAAUAGGUGGAAACUGCUGCAAAGGAUAAAAGACCAUUUUUGGAGAAAAUAGAAGGAGGAAUAUUUAAAUACGCUACAGGCCCGUAUGAAGCGGAAAAGGCGAGAUAAAAAUAUAGAAAUUGGCCAAGUGGUAAUACGAAGAGACCCACCCGGCGCAUUGGCCUCUGGCGAGAGUGAUUGAAGUCCAUACGGGAAAAGAUGGAGUAGUAAGAGUGGUGACCCUUAAAACGCAAAAUGGUGUGUUGAAGAGGCCGGUCAAUAAGUUAUGUCCUUUGGAACAUCAAGAUAAAGAAGAAGAGGUAACGCAUAAGGAUAACACACAGGCGGAAACAGCAUAUAUGAAUAUGACAAGAUGUAGGCCAAGAGUAAAGGAGCAACCACCAAUGAUUUGGAGACAAGCGGCAGAAAAGAGGAACUCCAUUAAAAUUUGUGGGUUCGUUCCAACACUGGGCGUUUGGUGUGAUGGACGAUGAUGACCGAGUAGCAAUGGAGAAUAACAUUGAGAAUUUAUUAGCCGACCAAAAGGAAUUAAAGGAACUGGCAAAGAAGCAGACGUCCAUAGUUGAUGCUACUGUCAAUAUCCUUAAAAGAUCAACCGAGGAAGUCAAUUCACAUUUCUCGGAGAUAAAAAAGAAGAUUGAGUAUAUAACCGCCACCAUGAAUGAUGCCACCGGGAUGCUCUACCCGAAAAAUAUGUACUUCCUGGUAAACACACAGGAAUGGAAUUAAAAGAGGUGCUAAAUUUGAUGACGGGUCAUGGAACAGUUGUGGGGUCGCAGCUGGUAAUAGAUAUAAAAAUACCACUAUUCAAUCGACAAUCAUCCCAGUUCUACAGGGUUAUUCCCAUACCGUUUAAAGAGGGUGGUACGGUGAUGAUAGCUCGGGUUAAAGCACCAUACAUUGUUUAUAAUUUUGAGCUCGAUUCUUUUCAUUUCUUGACACAGGCUAUGCUGAACGAGUGCAAAGAAACUCUGGGUAAAGAAAUCAUGUGUGAAGGCAAUUUUCCUUGGAGAGAUGCGUCAACGAAUCAAUGCGAAUUGGCGCCCUUUAGACCUCACAUAAAUAUAAACUGCGCUUACGAUGAAACUGAACGAAUGCCUUAUUGGAUGCCACUACAAAUGCAAGGAAAUUGGUUGUUCAAGACGUUCUCAAAUAACACUGCACAUCUGAAAUGUUCCCAUAAGCAAUAAACGAUAAUGGAACUUCCGCAGCAAGGGAUUUUCUCGUUGGAGGCGGAUUGUACAGCGAGUAUCGGUCAAGUGAGGACGUAAACGAGGCUGAUAAGGAAACUAUCAAACCUAUCGGAGAUCUGCUGAUUAAUCAUGAUAAAGAAAUCAAUCAAUUGAAGGAGUGUGUGGACAAAUUAAGAAACGAAAACGUUGAGUUAAGAGGACUGAAUUUCCACCACAUGUCGGGGCAUACAUCGUUAAUUUUAGUAUCUAUGGUUAUAGUAAUACCUAUAAUUUUAUUAAUAAGAAAAAUAAUGAUAAUCAGAAGAAUAGCUGCAAUACAAUUCCCACGGCCUGUAAAUGUUUAACAUGCAUUUUGACGCCCGGGAGAAUGUUCAGAGAACAUAGAUAAAAGGUUAAGAAACAUUCGCUUGUGAUCGUUUGACUUAAUUUUUGAACGGUCUAAACAUAAUAAUAUUAGAAAAAGAAACCAUAUGUAAGCAAUUCAGCGGCCUUGUAGCUCUGCGGCAGCGCAGAUGGUAAUCUAUUUUUAACGAUUAGAAAUUCCAAGCGGCCAUAAAAUCUAUUUGUGUGCACUGAUAAUAAAGGAUCAAUAAAGUCCACACAUACAGAUAGAUAUGCGCUCAGUAGGUAGCAUGCACUUAAGUGUUGGAACACAAGAUCCCUCCUAGCGUGCCCUUAGAAUAGAUAAGAAAGAUUGUGUGUCUGCGAUUAGGUUAAGCCAGAAUAGUUUAGGUAGCACUUAAGUAAGAAAUAUUCUUUAAUAAAAUCAGAUUUGAAAAUA